GAUGAACGCUGGCGGCGUGCCUAAUACAUGCAAGUCGAGCGAACGGACGAGAAGCUUGCUUCUCUGAUGUUAGCGGCGGACGGGUGAGUAACACGUGGAUAACCUACUUAUAAGACUGGGAUAACUUCGGGAAACCGGAGCUAAUACCGGAUAAUAUUUUGAACCGCAUGGUUCAAAAGUGAAAGACGGUCUUGCUGUCACUUAUAGAUGGAUCCGCGCUGCAUUAGCUAGUUGGUAAGGUAACGGCUUACCAAGGCAACGAUGCAUAGCCGACCUGAGAGGGUGAUCGGCCACACUGGAACUGAGACACGGUCCAGACUCCUACGGGAGGCAGCAGUAGGGAAUCUUCCGCAAUGGGCGAAAGCCUGACGGAGCAACGCCGCGUGAGUGAUGAAGGUCUUCGGAUCGUAAAACUCUGUUAUUAGGGAAGAACAUAUGUGUAAGUAACUGUGCACAUCUUGACGGUACCUAAUCAGAAAGCCACGGCUAACUACGUGCCAGCAGCCGCGGUAAUACGUAGGUGGCAAGCGUUAUCCGGAAUUAUUGGGCGUAAAGCGCGCGUAGGCGGUUUUUUAAGUCUGAUGUGAAAGCCCACGGCUCAACCGUGGAGGGUCAUUGGAAACUGGAAAACUUGAGUGCAGAAGAGGAAAGUGGAAUUCCAUGUGUAGCGGUGAAAUGCGCAGAGAUAUGGAGGAACACCAGUGGCGAAGGCGACUUUCUGGUCUGUAACUGACGCUGAUGUGCGAAAGCGUGGGGAUCAAACAGGAUUAGAUACCCUGGUAGUCCACGCCGUAAACGAUGAGUGCUAAGUGUUAGGGGGUUUCCGCCCCUUAGUGCUGCAGCUAACGCAUUAAGCACUCCGCCUGGGGAGUACGACCGCAAGGUUGAAACUCAAAGGAAUUGACGGGGACCCGCACAAGCGGUGGAGCAUGUGGUUUAAUUCGAAGCAACGCGAAGAACCUUACCAAAUCUUGACAUCCUUUGACAACUCUAGAGAUAGAGCUUUCCCCUUCGGGGGACAAAGUGACAGGUGGUGCAUGGUUGUCGUCAGCUCGUGUCGUGAGAUGUUGGGUUAAGUCCCGCAACGAGCGCAACCCUUAAGCUUAGUUGCCAUCAUUAAGUUGGGCACUCUAAGUUGACUGCCGGUGACAAACCGGAGGAAGGUGGGGAUGACGUCAAAUCAUCAUGCCCCUUAUGAUUUGGGCUACACACGUGCUACAAUGGACAAUACAAAGGGCAGCGAAACCGCGAGGUCAAGCAAAUCCCAUAAAGUUGUUCUCAGUUCGGAUUGUAGUCUGCAACUCGACUACAUGAAGCUGGAAUCGCUAGUAAUCGUAGAUCAGCAUGCUACGGUGAAUACGUUCCCGGGUCU
rnacentral:rRNA from 1 species